GUCUUCGUGGAGUAUGGUGCUCGCUCCCACUCGAUAACAUAUCGGUGGCGUGGUAUAUGGGAGAGACGGUGGUUCGACUCCACCCGAGGACA